rnacentral:rRNA from 1 species
UACGGAGGGUGCAAGCGUUGUCCGGAAUCACUGGGCGUAAAGGGCGCGUAGGCGGCCUGGUAAGUAGGGGGUGAAAUCCUGCGGCUUAACCGCAGGGCUGCCUUCUAAACUGUCAGGCUUGAGCACGGUAGAGGCAGAUGGAAUUCCCGGUGUAGCGGUGGAAUGCGUAGAGAUCGGGAAGAACACCAGUGGCGAAGGCGGUCUGCUGGGCCGUUGCUGACGCUGAGGCGCGACAGCGUGGGGAGCAAACAGG